GAUGAGAGCAGUUAAUAAAGCCUUGACUUCUUAUCUUAACUAAAUGAACGAUGAAUAAAGCUGCACAGUACGCUGUUUUCUUCUCACUGAUCACAGUGGGAGUUCUGGGACUGACAGUGGAGCAACAAGAACUCUCCUGGACAAAACAACAGUACAAAACUGUUUACUUAAACUGUAAAGUGACUGAUCUAGCCAGCAAUAACUACGUCCACUGGUACCAACAGAAAGAUGGAGAAGCUCUGAAAAGAAUUCUGUACGUUAAUAAACAAGCCACAAGCACUGUGCAUGAUCCCAACCAUCCUGAAGCAAAAGACUUCUCUGUGACUCUAGAGAAGGGUGAUAAUUACGUUCUGAAGGUGGGCUCAGUGAAGUUCACCCAUGCUGGAGUUUAUUACUGCGCUGUCUGGACGAGCAGCCACAGUGAGAAAAACUGCUCACAUCCUGUACAAUAA